CUCAUACUCCCUCCGUUCGGAAUUACUCGUCGGAGAAAUGGAUGUAUCUAGACGUAUUUUAGUUCUAGACACAUAAAUUUUCGCGACAAGUAAUUCCGAACGGAGGGAGUAUUUU
rfam:Triticum aestivum genome assembly, contig: Triticum_aestivum_CS42_TGACv1_scaffold_158635_2DL